CCUACGGGGGGCAGCAGUGGGGAAUAUUGCACAAUGGGGGAAACCCUGAUGCAGCGACGCCGCGUGAAGGAAGAAGGUUUUCGGAUCGUAACUUCUAUCAGCAGGGGAGGAGGAAGUUGCAGUACCUGGCUAAGAAGCCCCGGCUAACUACGUGCCAGCAGCCGCGGUAAUACGUAGGGGGCAAGCGUUAUCCGGAAUCACUGGGGGUAAAGGGUGCGUAGGCGGUAGGGCAAGUCAGAUGUGAAAGCCCGGGGCUCAACCCCGGGACUGCAUUUGAAACUGUCUUACUAGAGUGCAGGAGAGGAAAGCGGAAUUCCUAGUGUAGCGGUGAAAUGCGUAGAUAUUAGGAAGAACACCAGUGGCGAAGGCGGCUUUCUGGACUUAGACUGACGCUGAGGUACGAAAGCGUGGGGAGCAAACAGGAUUAGAUACCCUGGUAGUC
rnacentral:rRNA from 1 species